UGGGAAGUAAGGUCAGAAAUAGGGUUGAUGGUUAGUGUUUUGGAAGGAUAAAGAUACUAGAGGAGUAAGGAAAUGAAAGAUCUUAAAGAAGACACCAAGAGAAAUGAAGGUAACAAUGGUUUGCUGGUAAAAGUAUUUGAACCCAUGAUGUUGUUGGGUUACCAUAUAUUGCGUGGACUGACUAUGUGCUCCUCACAUGAUUGGUAAUCCAUGUGAUGCUGCUUCAGCUGCAGGACUCGGGCCUGAUCUGGUACUUGAUCAAUUAUCUUCUUCUAACUUAUGGGUUCCUGGCACAGUGUUUCCUCCAGUCCCGGCAGACUCAAACGAUGAAACAGCUUUUGCGCAACUAUCUCUGAAUCAAUCUGGAAGUGGAACUGAGGAAGUCGCUCCAUAUGAGUUGAUGCAGCAAAUGGUGCCUCUACAGGAACUGGAGCAGA